AGCAGCUGCGGUAAUUUCAGCUCCAAUAGUGUAUAUUAAAGUUGUUGCAGUUAAAAAGCUCGUAGUUGAAUUUUGGAAUCAGUUCGCUGGUUGUGCCUCUGGUAUGUACUGGUGUUACUGGUUCCUCCCUUCUGACGAAAUGUCAUGUCAUUUACUUGGUGUGGCAGGGAAGCAGGACUGUUACUUUGAAAAAAUUAGAGUGUUUAAAGCAGGCUUGCACCUGAAUACAUUAGCAUGGAAUAAUGAAAUAGGACGUUUGAUCCUAUUUUGUUGGUUUCUAGGAUUGACGUA
rnacentral:rRNA from 1 species